GAGACAGUAGCUCAGUUGGUAGAGCAUAAGGGAUAAUAUUUAAAUUACCAUUUACGAUGGUCAAUAAAUAUUUACUGCUAUCAUUGGUUAAUCUUAAGGUCGUGGGUUCGAGUCCCACCUGUCUCG
rfam:Flammeovirga sp. SJP92 Scaffold6_2, whole genome shotgun sequence.